GGAGGGUGCAAGCGUUGUUCGGAAUUAUUGGGCGUAAAGAGCGUGUAGGCGGUCCGGUAAGUCAGAUGUGAAAGCCCUGGGCUCAACCCAGGAAGUGCAUUUGAAACUACCAGACUUGAGUACGGGAGAGGAGGGGGGAAUUCCCGGUGUAGAGGUGAAAUUCGUAGAUAUCGGGAGGAAUACCAGUGGCGAAGGCGCCCCUCUGGACCGAUACUGACGCUGAGACGCGAAAGCGUGGGGAGCAAACAGGAUUAGAUACCCUGGUAGUCCACGCCGUAAACGAUGAGCACUAGGUGUAGCGGGUAUUGACCCCUGCUGCGCCGUAGCUAACGCAUUAAGUGCUCGCCUGGGGACUACGGUCGCAAGCUA
rnacentral:rRNA from 1 species